UCUUGGUCAAUUAGAGGAAGUAAAAGUCGUAACAAGGUCUCCGUAGGUGAACCUGCGGAGGGAUCAUUACAGAGUUCAUGCCCUACCGGGUAGAUCUCCCACCCUAUGUAUAUUAUUACUUUGUUGCUUUGGCGGGCCGUUAGGCUCCGGCCCGACUACCGGCCCCGGCUGGUAAGCGCCCGCCAGAGGACCCAAAACCCUGAAUAUUAGUGUCGUCUGAGUACUAUAUAAUAGUUAAAACUUUCAACAACGGAUCUCUUGGUUCUGGCAUCGAUGAAGAACGCAGCGAAAUGCGAUAAGUAAUGUGAAUUGCAGAAUUCAGUGAAUCAUCGAAUCUUUGAACGCACAUUGCGCCCCUUGGUAUUCCGGGGGGCAUGCCUGUUCGAGCGUCAUUACAACCCUCAAGCCUGGCUUGGUAUUGGGCUUCGCCACUAACCUGGCGGGCCUUAAAAUCAGUGGCGGUGCCUCCGAGGCCCUGAGCGCAGUAAAUAUCCUCGCUAUAGGGACCCGGUGGUUACUGGCCAGCAACCCCAACUUUCUAAGUUUGACCUCGGAUCAGGUAGGGAUACCCGCUGAACUUAAGCAUAUCAAUAAGCGGAGGAACU
rnacentral:rRNA from 1 species